CCGAAAAUUUAAGGGUUCCUCCGCAAGGUUCGGCCACGGAGGGUGAGUCAGGGCCUAAAAUCAGGCCGAAAGGCGUAGUCGAUGGACAACAGGUGAAUAUUCCUGUACUGCCCCUUGUUGGUCCCGAGGGACGGAGGAGGCUAGGUUAGCCGAAGAACGUAAGGUGUCCCUGCUUUGUCAGGGUAAAAGGGGGUAGAGAAAAUGCCUCGAGCCAAUGUUCGAAUACCAGGCGAUAAAAGCUCAGCUCAAGAAAAACUACUACUACUAUUUUGAGUAACAUAAUUCAGUAAAUGACAACAGAAAAAGAAAAAAGG
rnacentral:ncRNA from 1 species